UCAUUCAAUAUAUUUUUGAGUUUUAUUUUUUGUUGUAGCACAGUUUCAAAUUUCCCUGGAUUCUUAAAGAAAUCCAACAAAAGGAACAACAACAACAAUAGCUUUCUUUUCAGUAGUCACAGAGCGAGCAUCCUUGUGGCCAGAUCAAAAUCUCAGCUGAAAAGGAAAGUCAGAUAAAAUGGAAUCAAUAUUAAAACAACCUACAACCAAUACCUUAGAAUGAAAGAAUGCUGGCUUGAUGAAUGAAUAUUCAAAGCAAGAGGACACUGUGAAGAUCACAGGGAAUUCUGAGCACCUAUUUUGAUGAAGUCCAUAACUGGAAUGUGUCUUUGUAGUGGAACACAGCAUAUCCUUGGUCAAUAAUGGAAAAUAAAUUCCUCCAUACACCCCAAUAGGUCCAAACUUUCUUUCUUUCUUUCUUUCUUUCUUUCUUUCUUUCUUUCUUU